rnacentral:ncRNA from 1 species
CAAAGGUUUGGUCCUGACUUUACUAUCAACUAUGGCCCAAUUUAUACAUGCAAGUCUCCGCACCCCUGUGAGAAUGCCCUCAAUCCUCUGCCCGAAGAUGAGGAGCAGGCAUCAGGCACAUAUAUCCCGCCCAAGACGCCUUGCUAUGCCACACCCCCAAGGGAACUCAGCAGUAAUAGACAUUAAGCAAUAAGUGAAAACUUGACUUAGUUAAGGCCAACAGGGUCGGUAAAAUUCGUGCCAGCCACCGCGGUUAUACGAAAGACCCUAGUUUAUAGACACGGCGUAAAGGGUGGUUAAGGAUAAGAAAAAAUAAGGCCAAAGACCCCCUAAGCCGUCAUACGCUCUACGGAGGCACGAAGCCCAGACACGAAAGUAGCCUUAACAAAUUCUGCCUGACCCCACGAAAGCUGGAAAACAAACUGGGAUUAGAUACCCCACUAUGUCCAGCCCUAAACCUAGAUGAAAAACUACAAAACCAUCCGCCAGGGAACUACGAGCAUAGCUUAAAACCCAAAGGACUUGGCGGUGCCUCAGAUCCACCUAGAGGAGCCUGUUCUAGAACCGAUAAUCCCCGUUAAACCUCACCACUUCUUGCUUUCCCCGCCUAUAUACCGCCGUCGUCAGCUUACCCUAUGAAGGCCCAACAGUAAGCGAAAUGAGUUCAACCCAAAACGUCAGGUCGAGGUGUAGCGCACGAAGUGGGAAGAAAUGGGCUACAUUUUCUACCACAGAAUAUCACGAAUAGUGCCCUGAAAUCAGCACCUGAAGGAGGAUUUAGCAGUAAAAAGCAAAUAGAGAGUGCUUUUGAAUUAGGCUCUGAGGCGCGCACACACCGCCCGUCACUCUCCCCUUCCUACCAUAAUCAACUAAAUAUACCUAAUUAUUAAAACAAAACCACGGGGAGGCAAGUCGUAACAUGGUAAGUGUACCGGAAGGUGCACUUGGAACAAC